rnacentral:rRNA from 1 species
AUCUCUCAACUUGUGGUAAUCCACUUCCCGUAGCUCAUACAAAACCGCAGCAUAGACCGGAAAUCCUCAAUGAACCGACUGUAGUAAUUCAAACUGCCCAAAAAAGAUGCAUGGUCUUCAAUGACCGCGGGAAAGGUAGCUUCCAAUUCGGCAAUCGAAACUUGGUGACCCAAAUAAGUUACCUAAGUUUUUCUCCAGAAACGCUUCACCACAGUAAUCGAAAGAUUCCACUUUUCACACGUAAUCAUCAACUUUUCCACUUUUUCACAUAGUAAAUCCCAAGCAGUCGCUGUCACGAGAAUGUCAUCAAUGUAGGACCGCCGCCCAAAACUGAAGGUUUUGGGUCGGGGUCUGGGUCAUCUUCGGCGAACACAUCGCCGAUCAGAGCAGGAUCUUCGUCCGUCUUGAUCUUGAAAUGUCCAUACAGCGCGUUAUCUAUUAAUCGCUGGUAAAUCUACGGGGCAUUCUUUAGACCAAACGGCAUCCGGUUCCACUCGAAUAACCCGAAAGGCGUCACAAACGCAGAGAUUUCUCGUGCACGAUCGGUCAUAGAGACCACCAGAAUCCACUAGCCAUGUCCAACGAGCAAUACGACAAAACUUUAUCCAGAUCCUCCAGCAAGUCGUUUAUCAACGGCAUCGGGUAAACCAUUAGCAUAGUCAGCCGGUUCACCAGUCGGUAGUUGAUACACAACCUUAUAUCCAACCCAUUCUUUUUAAUAAUGAUUACAAUGGGAGAAGCCCAUGGCGAGGUGGACGGCUGAAUUAUCUUGAUGGAUAGCAAUCCCUUUAUAAUCUCCGACAGCUUUUCCCGAUACUGGGUGGCGACUCUCCGGCACCUUUUCGCUACCGGCUUGGCGUUACCCACACCAAUGUCGCAUACCGCCCCAUGGGCGGCCGGAUGCAGUGCAUUUCCAGGACCAAUCAGCAGAUGUUUCCUUUUUCAUAUGAUGUUCUUCAGCCUGCUGAUCUCUUCCGGGGUGUUUACAUCUGGAUCUCCAACUUGUAGAUCGUCAAUAGUAACUGCUGGUGGGCAGGGGGUCACAUCAGGUAACACCGCCAUCUGUUCCUUCAUGCCUUCGAGAUCGCCCCCUUCAUGAAUGCAGACCUGGUCAGUUUCGGCUACUUCCGAAUCCCGGUCAGCCGGAUCGGUCGAUCCAGCAUCAUCCUGCUCAUCGCGCCAUCCGGCAUGGGAAGUGACCGCACAUGUGACUCCGACUUGUCUCCUCUCCUGAUCCUGCCGUUCGUCCGUCUUCGACGGAGUGGACAAAACCAGUUCAGCGAUUGGGGCAGAAUCGCAACCAGCACGUUCAGCCGGAUCCGGCGACGGCUGGCUCAGCGUCAAUAUUCUAGAAGGAGUCCGGUACUCUGGUUUAGCCACCAUUAAGGUCUGGUCUUCCUCCACCACUUCCUCUUCGCUGCCCUAAUCGGUAGUUGCCUGAAAGGCUAGGUUUUGCCACUCGAUAUAGCGUCUUGGGCCAAUUGUGACAUAACCCGGCCGGCGGGACACCUUGUCCUCGGCCAGCCACAUUCCAAUGAUCACGUCUUCAUGCAAGGUGAGGCGCCGUUCUGAGAUGUUGGUCCACACUUAUGUAAUUGAGGUGACCUUCCCCUUUGACGAACGAGUGCACCCUCGCCCCUAGUCAGCCAUAGCUUACGCCGCCUGUUGUGUGGUCGUAACGUUACUUCCCCCGACCUUCCCACUGGCACCGUUACAAACUGACCUAACUUGAGGAGCUGGACGUGGGCGCCAUAUAAGGGCCGCCGGCCAGCGAGCUGGAUCUGCACCUCAUCAGGCAACGUCAAUGUCCCAUGAGAUAAAUCCAAUCGUUUGCCGGCUGGGGCCAUAAAGUCCAUCACUAAUAUUGCAUCCUGCCCGACAAGCUUACCUACCCAGGCGGUAAAGUAGUACACCAAAAACCCAGCCAGGGUAAUAUUAACUCGUUCUUCCUUGGGUCAUGUACGAACUUUCUCCAAUGCCGAUACACUCCUACCGCUUCGUCUCAUCUAUUUCACACCCUACCUUAUGAGCAAAGGUGGUUUCAACGAUGGACACUUCUGCGCCAGAGGCAAACAGUAUGGUGGCCUUCUGGUUAUUAAAGAGAUUCCCACUGUCCCUAUCUACUGUCUACAGAACCCACAGCCAAGGGAACGGGCUUGGAAUAAUCAGCGGGGAAAGAAGACCCUGUUGAGCUUGCCUUUAGGCUGAUGCUGUGAAAUGACUUGGGAGGCGUAGAAUAAGUGGGAGGCUUUGCCGUCACUGAAAUAUCACUACUCUCAAUGUUGUUAUACUUAUAUCAUGAUGUAAUAUCUGCGUUGCUUCGCGGCGGCCCAGUUAUAUUUGGAAGCCUGGGCUUUCCUGGUGAAUUACGUGAAAAACAUCAUCAGGCGGGGAGUUUGGCUGGGGCAGCACAUCUGUUAAAUGAUAACACAGGUGUCCUAAGGUGAGCUCAAUGAGAACAGAAAUCUUAUGUAGAACAAAAGGGUAAAUGCUCACUUGUUUUUGAUUUUCGUAUGAAUACAAACCGUAAAAGCGUGGCCUAUCAAUCCUUUAGUCCUUUCGAAUUUUAAGCUAGAGGUGUCAGAAAAGUUACCACAGGGAUAACUGGCUUGUGGCAGCCAAGCGUCCAUAGCGACGUUGCUUUUUGAUUCUUCGAUGUCGACUCUUCCUAUCAUUGCGAAGUAGAACUCGCCAAUUGUUGGAUUGUUCACCCACUAAUAGGGAACGUGAGCUGGGUUUAGACCGUCGUGAGACAGGGUAGUUUUACCCUACUGAUGAGUUCGUUGUCUAAACAGUAAUCCAACCCAGUACGAGAGGAACCGUUGGUUCAGAUAAUUGGUAACUGCGGUUAGCUGAAAAGCUAGUGCUGCCAAGCUACCAUCUGUCGGAUUAUGGCUGAACGCCUCUAAGUCAGAAUCCAUGCUGGAAUAGACGAUAAUCACCUUUCCUGAUUUAACGCGAAUAGCGAUAGGUGUCCUUUGGACACCCAACAUCAUACAAUUGCAACGAAACUCGCUAUCUGUCAAAUAUCGAUAGUGGGGAGUAGGCUGAUUUGUAAUUUCAAAUAUUGGGAAAGAUAAAUAC